rnacentral:misc_RNA from 1 species
GAGGAUGCAGACUACAAAGAAGAUAAGAUUGAAUUUUGGAAUAAUGUCUAUGGCUUUAACAUGAGUUGUAUCAAGAAGCAAGCCAUUAUGGAACCUCUUGUUGAUACAGUUGAUCAGAAUCAAAUUGUCACAAACUGCCAGCUACUCAAGACUAUGGAUAUCUCUAAAAUGGUCUCUGGGGAUGCUUCCUUCACAGUUCCUUUUAAGCUUGUGGCAGA